GCUUUCCAAUAGAACUUUCUGCAAUGAUGGAAUUGUUCUGUAUUUGCUCUGUUCAGUAUGGUAGCCAUUAAUCACAUGUGGCUAUUGAGCAUUUGAAAUGCAGCUAAUGCCACUGUGAAACUGAUUUUUAAAUUUUAUUUAAUUUUAAUUUUAAAAAAAUUUAAAAGCCUCAUGUGGCUAGUCCCUUACAUAGUGGACAGUGCCUGAUUAACUGAUGAUCUUGUCCUCUUUGUUAAAUAGCAGUUACCCAAAAGGAGAUUUUCUUGAGAAGGGAUACUUUAUGUUCAGUCUUUUGAUAUUUAUUUUCUGGGUAAUCCCCAGGAAGCUAAAUGUAUAAAGAUUGGUUGAACAUUAACCUCUUUUAAAAAAAUACAGACUUAAGUAGAAAUGGAGAAUAAAUGGAAAUCAGGACAGAUCAUGAGAAAGGGUACCUUAAAAUAAAUGCCUUUUAAAAUUUAUUGAACAUUCUGUAUUGUGUAAUUGCCUCACAUUUUUCUCCAUAUGUGUGUGUGGGGGGGUUGUUUUUCAGAAACACAUCUCCAAUAUUUAUUUUUAAAACAAACAAAACUUACUACAACACAAGCAUGAAUAAAAGAUCACAGGUAAAGAAAAAGCAUACCUCCUACUACAGAGUAGAAGCUGCUGCCUUCAUAAGAAAAUGCCAUAGAAACAUCAUUGAGCCUUUUGUCUCAGAUGCUGUCUUGCUCUGUAAACAUUUAAUCCACAGUGUUUUGCACUGAUGAAUUUAUGGAUUUAAUAUGAAACUCAUAAAAGUAAGUGCUGUAUAUGAUGGACUUAAUAAAUCUGCAUUUUUAUAACUUUAAUAUUGUACCC
rnacentral:lncRNA from 1 species